UAUCUCUGUAGAGUCUGCAUAUCAAUAAGCGGAGGAAAAGAAACUAACAAGGAUUCCCCUAGUAACGGCGAGUGAAGCGGGAAGAGCUCAAAUUUGAAAUCUUAAAGGGUUUCCCUUUACGAAUUGUAGUUUAAAGAAGUGUUUUCUGUUGAGGUUUUGGUAAAAGUUCUUUGGAAUAGGACAUCAUAGAGGGUGAGAAUCCCGUAUUUGACCUUUACUUUCAACUUUGUGAUACACUUUCAAAGAGUCGGAUUGUUUGGGAAUGCAGUCCAAAAUGGGUGGUAAAUUUCAUCUAAAGCUAAAUAUUGGCGAGAGACCGAUAGCGAACAAGUACCGUGAGGGAAAGAUGAAAAGAACUUUGAAAAGAGAGUUAAACAGUACGUGAAAUUGUCAAAAGGGAAGCGUUUGACACCAGUGUUGUUUUUCUGAAAAUCAAUUAAAGAACUGUUUAUGCUAAGUUGUUUAGACUUUAUCAGCUAACUGUUUAGUUUUGAGCUUUUCUUUAAUGCACUUUUCAGUUAACAAGUCAACAUCAAUUUCUUUUGCUGUAAAAAAGCUUGAGGAAGGUGGCUUGAGAUUCGUCUUAAGUGUUUAUAGCCUCUUGCCUAUGCAGUCGGAGAGAUUGAGGUCUGCAGCGUAGAUCCUUCGGGGCUAAAUGCAUUUGUGCUAAGUUAUAGCAUUUUAUAGACAACUUGUUGACUAUGAUUUGUCUUGUAGCUUACUCGCUUAUGUUAUUUUACCUACGCUUAGGAUGUUGACGAUCAGCUGAGCGCG
rnacentral:rRNA from 1 species